rnacentral:rRNA from 1 species
UGCCAGACUCCUACGGGAGGCAGCAGUGGGGGAUAUUGCACAAUGGGGGCAACCCUGAUGCAGCGACGCCGCGUGAGCGAUGGAGUACUUCGGUAUGUAAAGCUCUGUCAGCAGGGAAGAGAAUGACGGUACCUGACCAAGAAGCCCCGGCUAAAUACGUGCCAGCAGCCGCGGUAAUACGUAUGGGGCAAGCGUUAUCCGGAUUUACUGGGUGUAAAGGGAGCGUAGACGGCAUGGCAAGUCAGAUGUGAAAGCCCGGGGCUCAACCCCGGGACUGCAUUUGAAACUGUCAGGCUGGAGUGCAGGAGAGGUAAGUGGAAUUCCUAGUGUAGCGGUGAAAUGCGUAGAUAUUAGGAGGAACACCAGUGGCGAAGGCGGCUUACUGGACUGUAACUGACGUUGAGGCUCGAAAGCGUGGGGAGCAAACAGGAUUAGAUACCCCGGUA